rnacentral:lncRNA from 1 species
AGAGAUAAUAAAAUAUUCAGGGAAAAGUUCAGAUGAAGAAUAUGCUAUUAUUUUCAAAUUCCCACAUUCUGACUUUAGUACAUUUUAAUGUAUUUUCUUUUUUUAGGCAAUCCUUUCUCCAAAGGGCCAUGGAUCCCUAAAAUUUAUAUUCUCUUUCUACGUUGGAGUUAAUGGCAGUCGGAAGCCUAUUAGUUAAGGCUGAUUUAUUCAGUCAGUUUCUACAGGCAAGGAAUGGGGUUAAACUUGGGUGUGCCACUAAAAUGGACAUCAUUUGAUAAUAAGAUGCCUUACUGCCAAACUUCAGGAGUCUCCAAAGCUCUCUCUAGGCUGCAGGUCAUUCUUCAGUUUCUCUAAUUCUUGUACAAAAAACCCCCACACAAACAAACAGAUAAUAUGGAAAUAUACUGAUUUCAUGUUUUUACAAUAUGUAUAAGCUUUUGAUUCUUCAUUGGCAGCUAGCUGGUCUCCUGAGACAUGGUUCUGGAUGAUAUCCAAAAACAAAUUUAGUUUCUGAGGAGGAACAUUGUGAAAUCAGUAAGCAAGCAACCUUGCUAAUCCAAAUUCAGUUAAAUUUCAUUUCUGUGGGAUCGCGGAUGAAGAGCAUCACCAAGUGCAGAAGCUGAGCUGGUGGCCCAGUUGCUCACAGCGGGGCAGCUCACUCACUGCCUCCACACAUGCUCUUGUUUUGCCGUGAACGUGUAUCUCACAGGAGUACUCCCCUAGCAACCUACAUGCAACCCUCCAUCUCUGUCUUCAGAAAAUGAAUGCAAGCCAGUGGAAUAGGAUGGAUCCUGGAAAUCGUACUCUAAAAUGGAAUUUUGGAGAUGGACCACUCACUGGUCAUAAAUACCACGAGAACAGCUUUUCCUGCUCCAUUUAAGUUUGCCCAGUGCCAGUUUUGGUCUUGUCCCAAAGCCAAAAACAUUGGAGACAUUGACAGAAAAGAAAGUAAUGGACCAUAUUGGAAGGGCCCAGACAGUUCUGUGCAGAUUCUGCUCUAG